rnacentral:rRNA from 1 species
UACGGAGGGUGCAAACGUUGCUCGGAAUUAUUGGGCGUAAAGCGCACGUAGGCGGUCUGUUAAGUCGGAUGUGAAAGCCCCGGGCUCAACUCGGGAAGUGCAUUCGAAACUGGCAGGCUUGAAUAUGAAAGAGGGUCGCGGAAUUCCCGGUGUAGAGGUGAAAUUCGUAGAUAUCGGGAGGAACACCAGUGGCGAAGGCGGCGACCUGGGCCAAUAUUGACGCUGAGGAGCGAAAGCGUGGGGAGCGAACAG